rnacentral:lncRNA from 1 species
CCACCCAGGCCUGCGAGCACCCUCGACCUCCGGCAGUGCUCUUCCCAUGGCGCACCAGCAGGCUGAUUCUACAGCCAGAUCCGGCAGUUGCCGUCUCCCUGGUCCUUCUCUUCGUCCUCUCCGGUGGUGGUGGCAUGGCAGGGCUCUCCGGCAGCCAGCUCCGGGUCGUUUUGCCAUGUUUUGUCCCCUGCCACUCAUCCAUCCCCCUUCUCUCUGUUUUGCAGGUCCGGCCCCCCGGCGGCAUUCCAUGUAACCACCACGACGAGCGGCUGAACCCGCACCCCAGAUCCAUCUCUUUGAGUGCUUAGCGGCGAGCUCCAUGGCGCGGGAUCCCCAUCCCAUCGGUUAUCUCUUCUCCCUUCCCCUCCGCUCCUCUCCGGCGAGCUCUCACUAAUGUGCUGCCUGCUAUUCAAAUUUUUCCAGGCUUGAAGUUCACUGGGUACAGACAGGAUGACCAUGACGAGUCGUUUGGGGGAACGCCCACUUGAAGUGUUCAGCCGGCGGAACGCCCGCUCAUGAUGACAAACACUCGGACAAAGUUUUGCAUUUUUGUAGAAGUUCAUUUUGCCAUGUGCAGCUAUUCAUGUUUCUCGGGCGUGCAGUACACUGAGUUUUGUAAAAAAAUAAGGGACUACUUGCAGAACAUGUUGCAAAUUCUUGCAGUUUUGGCAAUCGAUUUUAUCUAUUGUUCGGUGCAAAUUGAGCUCCUGGCUGAUCAAUUCAGUGCGAUGCAGUGCGGUGUGCCUGUUCGCUUAGUUCGACACUCUUCUUGCUUCUUGGGAUGUUCU